rnacentral:misc_RNA from 1 species
UGGGAAGUUCAUAAUGGAUAACCUGGAAAAAGGUGCAAAAGAGGCUAAAGGUUAUUAACAUUUUGCUAAUCCAAUUGGAAUUUGACUGUUGGAGUGAGAAUUAGAGGAAAUGGAAAAUUUUCCACAGAAAAGGUCGUGUGUGAAAAACAAAAUACAAACUAGCUAUGACAAAUUAUGCUAAAUGUUCAAUUUCAACCGUGCACUUAUUGGAGAUGUUCAAUUUAGCCUAUUUUCAACUUUUUGCAUAAAUUAACACAUAAAUUUCAAUUUGAGCUCAAUUUAAUCCAAAAAUUAAAAUUUCUUAGCUAAAUUUCUUGAUUUAGAAAAAAAAGUUCAAUUUCUUGAUUUAGCCCAAAAAUCAAGAAUUCAAUUUCUUGAUUUUCUUUAUU